CUCUCUUUACUCCCUGGGCAGGAUAAGCGCUUCGCCUCAGGGAAGUACCAGGAUGUCUACGUGGAGCUAAACCACAUCAAGUCGAGGUCAGAGCGGGAGAUUGAGCAGCUGAAGGAACACCUGCGUCUGGCCAUGGCCGCCCUUCGGGAAAAGGAGUCCAUGCGGAACAAUCUGGACAACUAGCGGUUCCAGUUGCUCAGUCCCCUGUUGGAUUUGUCCAGCAGAAGGGAGACGUGGUCUCCUCAUGCCCAAGGAGACUAGAAGCCAAGCUUUCUUACUAAACCUUCAUGGGCAGCGCUCACACACACACACACACACACACACACACACAUACAUCCUCUGCAGAUCUGAGCGCGCCCUUCACACUGGGUCUUAACUUGCACCUUCUUCGGGAUUUUAUAUGUGAAAAGAUUUUUAUAUAGAUUUUUUUCCUCCCCCCCAAAGAAAAAAAAAACACUUUAUGCCCAGUUUUUUUUUUUGUUUGUUUUUUAAGAAUGCCUAGGACUGAGUGGGUGCUCUCCUGCCCCCACACCCCCAAGCCGGCAGCCUCCGCGGGGUCCUGGGGCUCAGUCUGGAAGAGGAGGAUGCAGCUUUUCCAUCCCCUCCCCUGCCCCGCCCCCCACUCCUUCACUGCUACUGGCUCUGGGCCCUUCCCCAAGUUGAGGCUGGCUGCCCUUCCUACCUGGGACCUAUGGAUGGAUGGACGGACAGAAGGACGUUUUGAGGGGGGAGCAUGGGACCUGCCACUCUCAAGUCCUGAGCCGGACCGCGGGAGCCAAACAAUGAAGGCGGGGAGCCUCCUCUGCACAGCAAAACUUUUAACUUAAUAAAACAUCCUAGUUA